rnacentral:rRNA from 1 species
UACGGGGGGGGCAAGCGUUGUUCGGAAUUAUUGGGCGUAAAGGGCGCGUAGGCGGCCUGGCAAGUGGAUGGUGAAAUCCCUCGGCUUAACCGAGGAACUGCCAUCCAGACUGCUUGGCUUGAGACCGGGAGAGGUGAGUGGAAUUCCCAGUGUAGCGGUGAAAUGCGUAGAUAUUGGGAGGAACACCAGUGGCGAAGGCGGCUCACUGGACCGGUACUGACGCUGAGGCGCGAAAGCGUGGGGAGCAAACGGG